GGUGGGCUGUUGAUCGGCCUUUUGGCCCUCGAUUUUGGGUUGUUUGAGGAUGGUGCCGUCUGCUGUUUGAUAUUGUAUGGUUGCCCCCGGUUGUCCAUUAAUCGCAUUCGUUGUGAAUAUUAUAUUCUUGUUUCGCAAUUCGUUUCAAACAACAAAAAAAUGCACAAUGCGGAGUGGUUUUACAACACUGUUCGACGCCACACUCGUACGGCGCGUUUGAGCGAGACAACUAUAUAGCACACACGUCAGCGAAAAACGACUGAUUAAAAAUGGCGACGAUGAGACAAAAAAUAUCACAAAAAACCUUCUGCUCGUUUGUUCUUACGUACGUUCGAAUGUGGACUGCUGAAGAGAGACGGAGAGUGGAAGAAAGCCAGGGAGAGAGCAGUAGCGCAUUAACCGUGCUGUAGUGCUGCCAGACUAACCAAAAAAAGAGACGACAAGCGUUUCUCUUUCCAAACACAUCUGUACUUGCAUUGAAAGUGUAAAUUUUGUAAAUGAAAGAAAAAUAUGUAAUUUAAAAAUUAUUUCAUCUUCUUGUGAGAACAAAUUGAUCAU